UACGUAGGGUGCAAGCGUUAAUCGGAAUUACUGGGCGUAAAGCGUGCGCAGGCGGUGAUGUAAGACAGUUGUGAAAUCCCCGGGCUCAACCUGGGAACUGCAUCUGUGACUGCAUUGCUGGAGUGCGGCAGAGGGGGAUGGAAUUCCGCGUGUAGCAGUGAAAUGCGCAGAGAUCGGGAGGAACACCCGUAGCGAAGGCGGCACUCUGGGCCGGUACUGACGCUGAGACGCGAAAGCGUGGGGAGCAAACAGG
rnacentral:rRNA from 1 species